rnacentral:rRNA from 1 species
UACGAAGGGGGCUAGCGUUGUUCGGAUUUACUGGGCGUAAAGCGCACGUAGGCGGAUCUUUAAGUCAGAGGUGAAAUCCCGGAGCUCAACUUCGGAACUGCCUUUGAUACUGGGGAUCUCGAGUUCGGGAGAGGUGAGUGGGAACUGCGAGUGUAGAGGUGAAAUUCGUAGAUAUUCGCAAGAACACCAGUGGCGAAGGCGGCUCACUGGCCCGACUACUGACGCUG